rnacentral:lncRNA from 1 species
UAAAGAAGGAAAAAGGCAGCAAAUGCAGGCUUUUAAACUAAAAGCUGGCUUUAUUCUCCUCCACCCAGGCUCUGCUACCUCUCUGCCUGCUGCAGCUGGCUGGCACCUCUGAGGAAGCUGCCACGUCACACCUCGCUGGAGUCGGGGAGAGCGUGGUGAGCCUUCCUCGGUAGUGAACAAGAUGAAGGGGCAACAUGGCCAUGAAGACUAGAGACCAAGCAGAACGGAAGUCUCAGACAACCUGCAAAAGUUUACAAAUCUUUUCCUGUGUUGUCCUUUUCACUAAAUAAGUCCCACUGGAGUUGUCUGAACAAGCCACAUGAGGCAGGCCCA